GAGUUUGAUCGUGGCUCAGAUUGAACGCUGGCGGCAUGCCUUACACAUGCAAGUCGAACGGCAGCAUGAUCUAGCUUGCUAGAUUGAUGGCGAGUGGCGAACGGGUGAGUAAUACAUCGGAACGUGCCCUGUAGUGGGGGAUAACUAGUCGAAAGAUUAGCUAAUACCGCAUACGACCUGAGGGUGAAAGUGGGGGACCGCAAGGCCUCAUGCUAUAGGAGCGGCCGAUGUCUGAUUAGCUAGUUGGUGGGGUAAAGGCCCACCAAGGCGACGAUCAGUAGCUGGUCUGAGAGGACGAUCAGCCACACUGGGACUGAGACACGGCCCAGACUCCUACGGGAGGCAGCAGUGGGGAAUUUUGGACAAUGGGCGAAAGCCUGAUCCAGCAAUGCCGCGUGUGUGAAGAAGGCCUGGUG
rnacentral:rRNA from 1 species